rnacentral:lncRNA from 1 species
CUACCUUAUUUCCUCCAUUGCCGGUUCGUGGACUACCUCUUCAGGACACGCCGAAUACAUCCUCUCCUUCACCAGCUGGUAGUCUCGCCCUUCAAUCAUGCCACUAACAAAUAAAAGGAGAAAACUAUGAUCAAGUUGAUAAGUCUUACGACUGUAUGUGAGGAAAGCAAAUAAUUCAUGCUUGUCAAUACCAUAGUGUACAAUUCUAGCAGAAAGCACAUCAUCAUUCUGGAAGAAAAUAGGUGGAAGCAUAAGAAAGCAAUUAAACAAUCUCUUCAGAGGCACUCACAUGGUAAAAUCCAAAACAUCGAAAGCAAUAUAUUAUUUUUGCGAAAUGUACAGGAUUCAAGAAACUGAGUACCAUCAAAAGUAGUCUGCUAUCCAUAUCCAGAACUCCAAUUCUUACAUACUUGCUAAAAGUUUUAUUGGUUGAGAUCAUUUUUGGAUCACCCACCAGCAAGUAUGCAUGAUUCAUAUGUGAAGAGAAACUGACAAUUACAACCAAUAACCAAUUAGCCAACACAUGAAAAACUAUCCUAAACCACUAUGACUACUAUUCACCAAUACCAUAGAUGAUAGCACUAUGCUAUCAGUUUCUUCAUGAUUCACCAUAUAAAAAGAUUAUACCUCUUCUACAUAGCAGCACAAGAUGUUUACACAAGGAAGGAAAAGAGUAAGUUUAAUUUCUUUUCACCUAUUUCUUAUCAAUGGAGAUGGAAAGUGCUCUAGUCUAUUUUUAAUGUUUUAUCUUGUCCACCUAUUUGUAGAUAGGCCUUUUUGUAACAUGACAACCUGAAAUUUAUUAAGAGACAUGAAACUUUUAUUAUAUGAUCGAAAGAACAAAAGUUAGUAAAUAUUUGUUACAAGUACCUGGCAGGAACAAGUGCAGCCUCAGUCUUUUUCAGAAGGCUAGUACAUAUUACAAACCAGGAAACGAUUGUUGAAAUAUGUGCUAUGAUGCAGUUUCUGAAACACGGUUUCAUGGUUGGCCAUGAUAAGUGUCAAAUGUUUUCUCCUUUUUAUUCGGGGUCCAUUAGGGUCAUAGCUGAUGGUACCUUAUAAACAAAAUUUUCAGAAUAGAUUGCAGCUUGUAUAAGAUAGACAGGUUUAGUUAGUAUCAUAUUUAAUCGAAAAGCAAAAUAAUCAUUUAACUAUUUACAUGUCUAGAUCCAAGGUUUGAGAAAUCAAUAAAGUGCCCUCCCUAGAAAUCACAGUGGAAGCAAGUAAAUAACCCAAGCUUGGUGUCGCACCACAAUAAAGAGGAUCAUAAAGGAAAAAAAUAGAGGGUCAUACAGAAUAAUCAGGAAUCUGUACACACAACUUACUACAGUUUACUCAUGCUUCAGAAUCAAUCAACAUGCUUAAUGCCGCACCACAAUAAGUAGCACAUGGAUAUUCUAACUCACAGGACAACCUAUAUAAUGUCAUCUUGCCUUGCAUUUGCCCUCUCAUUGCAUCGACCACCAAGGUAACAUAAAAAAGCACGCCAACCAAGAUAAACCAAAUCAUGGACUUGGACAGGAAAAUCAAAGAGAGGGAAAACCUAUGGAUGGGUUAGAUAGCAAGUCGCUCGCGAGGGCGCCCAGGUCUAGCCGACAACACCCGGCCCCACACACAGUUCGGAAGCACUCUAGCACAUAAUCAGAUGGCAUGAAAGUACCAACAACGACCAACCAAACCGAAUAAUCCACAUGAAUGGUUGUGAAUGAAGGCAGAAUCAUAUGCAUCUCACAACUAACAAAUUUAACUGAUAAUUCAAGAUACUAAAGAUCUGCUCUACAUUUUCGACGGUGAAAAUAGUAAAGAUCUCGAAUGCAAUAAAACAACAAGGAAGCAAACAAGUUGCACAUGAUUUAAAUUACGUCGCGUAACUUCUAAAGUUUUCCCUUUAUAUGACAACCUUCGUCCCAGCAAGAGUCAUUACAGUAUUUAGAUAUCUUGUAUAAAAAAGAUCAAGAACUAAAAACUACAUUCGGCAAGACAUCCUCUCUACAAAAGGAAAUUCCCAGAGCAAACAUUAGCCGAUUCAGUGCAUAUCUCCAAGGCUCAUGUAAGGGAAUUGUCAAAAAGGAGUGAACUGGAUUGGAAGGAGCUGCAAUACCUAAGGAUGGGUUGGAGACUGCGAGGUCGACAAGGACGCCUAUCAAAGCAUGUUUCUUCUGUCAUAAGCUUUUAUUUUACUUCGUCAUGAAGCUGUGAAAAAAGCCAUCUCGGUAUGAGCUUUCGAGAUUUAAACCAACCAUUUUCAUGAAUAAAUUAGUUGCUUCAGUUCUGUUGGGCCGUAUCAUAUAACAAAGAACAGAACAAAAUAGAAGUUUCUCUACCAAUGUUGUAAUUGUCUUGAGUAAAUGGAAGUUAAGAUAAAUGAGAAUCCUUGAGGCAAACACAAAUUAAAAAAUCAGCCACCGCAAUCCUCAAUGUCCGUUGUUCCUCUCUCUAUGGCCAGGCAUUAAAACCAAAACAGCCUAACCAGCCCACAUUAAAGCAAAAAUGGAAAACACGACAUCCUCUAUUGUAGAAUUAAGAAAAAUAUGCUCUCCGGGGAUAGAUUGGUUCACCUUGAGGUACAGAAUAAUUCGAACUCCUACAAAACAUUACAUUGUUUGCUUUAGUAUAUGACCCGUUCAAUCUGAAAAGUAUUCAAAAUUUUCAUCCAAAUCCUUGCAAUUCUUCCUACUGUGUUGAGCUUGUAACAGUGAUAUUAGUAUAAGAAUUUUAUUCUCUUUCUCUAGCUAGAAAUCUCCAAUCUGAAGUUUCAAGACACUGAUCAAAGUAUAUUAUGUCAGAAAAGAAACUCAUUCCACUAUGGAUAUAAUUAUUUGGCUCACACUUGUGAAUCAAGCAAGGAAGGAAGCGAACCUGAUGGUGUUGGUGUAUUGCGGCUCAGGCCAGUGUGCUCGACUUGCCGCUGCGUGUUGUUGGCUUCGCGCCACAAGACUCACCAUGUCCUGACCAGUGCAACACAUAUAAGAUCACCCUCAUAACCCAAGAGAAGUAGGGAAGUAUGUAACUAACAAAAAAACAGAUGUAGCAAGUGCAAGGUAGGCUUAGUGGUGCUUAGAGCUUACUUCAACUUUAUACCAAAGGAUGUACACCGGUCAUCUUCCUCGCUGGUCCCAGACAUUGCCGCAUGCCACCCUUCGAGAAGACAGUAGAGGGAUGAUUCUUCAACUGAAGAUGAAGAAAUGAAGGAAGAGCAAAAAUUUACCUGAGCAUUGGACCGGCGUCAUUCAUGGAUGGAGCUUGGAGGAACCCUCUUCUCCACUUCUCUCGAUCCACUGCCGCUAUUACUGCCUCGCACCAUGCAUCCGAGCCUACAUAAGGAAAAUGGCCCUCAACACCUGAACAACACACGGGGCGCAAAACUGGGCAUACAGAAAAAGGUGCAUCAAUCAAAUAUCGGCAGAGAUGCAUAGCAGGAAAUGCACAUACAACUUCAUGGUUUUUUAUGGAUGAAAAUACCAACAUCUAGACCUAAACAUCACCCAAGGAUUAUACAUUUCAAAAUAUAGAGCAGAGAGGCUAUCAACAGUUGUAUUCUAAAUCUCUUGACAUCACAAUUCGUGCAAGAAAAAUGGACAAAAUAAGACACUGCAAGCAAAUGUGCACCAAAUUAUGAGCAAAGAAACUGAUAAUUAGAGCAGAUUACUCCGCUUGCCCUUCUCACCGGCCUGCUCCUUCCCCCUG